rnacentral:tRNA from 1 species
GCUCCCAUCGUCUAGAGGCCAAGGACAUCGCCCUUUCACGGCGGUAACCGGGGNUCGAAUCCCCGUGGGAGUA